UUUCCGUAGGUGAACCUGCGGAAGGAUCACUA
rnacentral:rRNA from 1 species